AUGGGAAGGACGACGCUAGCGCCCCGUUUUGUGUUCCAGCGGGCAAAGAGCUCCCUGGCUAUCCCAGGUCAGUGGGGCAGGAGGCCGAGCGUGGAGCGCGGCCGGGGCGCGGGCUGGAUCGGGUUUCCGGAAGGACUUGCUAGGGCCGGCGCGGGUGGGUGUUGCCUGGCCCCGCUCCCCGCUCCACCUCCGGCCUGGCUUCCGCCCGCCGGUCGCGGUCCCCGGGCGAGGGAGGCCGCUAGACUCGGCCUGGAGCGCCCCCUGACGGCUAAUCGGAGUGGGCGCGCCUGCUCGUGGGAGAGCCAGAGGGAGAGCAAGCAGCUAGCACCGGCCAAGCGCGCCGGACGCCCCGGGAUCUGCGCGCAGGUGGACCCCUUCCCGCCGCUGGCGCGCUGCGCCAGUACACGACGGCGGCCCAGAGCCCGGACGCCAAGGCGGCGGCAGCGCAGAGCAAAGGAGCCCGUGGCAGUUCCUGCCGAGAUAGCGCCCAGCGACUGGAAACGAACCAGGAAGUUCUGGAUCCAUUCAUUUUUCUUGUUAUUCAUGUGGGGAAACCUAGUCCAGCCCAGCACCAGCACAGACGGCUUUCCUGCCCCACCCGCAGCCCUGCCCUGGGGUCAAAGGAGCCCAAGGAGACUGGUGCGUGCAAUAGGUGCAGCGAGAGGCGGGAAAAGGGUGGGCAUGAGGGGGCCAGGCACCUGGGAGCUUGGGCGGCAGAAGCAGAGGACUUUGAGGAUGGGGUGGUCCGGGGCUUCAGGAGCCACAGGGAACAAGAGAGAGGCACUGAGUCUGGUGACUGGGCUAAGCGGCUUCCAGGCGAGUGAGAAAAGCAGUGGGUAGUGGCGGGAGGUGGACAGUGCCAGACAAGCAGCUUCCUGGGAAGGAAAGCUGGAGCAGGGCAGCACAGAGCUGGGUAGGCAAGCUUUCUGGGAGGUGGGUAUGUGGGAUGGGACAAGAAGGAGAGCAACUGGGAAAAAUAAUAGCAUGGCAGUUCCAGGAGGAGGAGGUGGACAGGAGAGUCACAGGAAGGAUAAGCAAAGACCCUGAAACUUUCAAGCAAGAGUGUAUGGGGUGGGGGGGAGGUGGGGCAGGAGGGGACGUGCAGAGGCACAGGCUGGCCUAUGUGGUCUGAGAGGACAGGGAGUGGCUGGGGGCUCAGGGGAGGCUGGGCAGGGCAUGACCAGGAGGCUGCACUGUGGCUCUGCGGAGAGUCCAGAGCGUUGGAGAUGCCAUGUCAGCACUCCUUAGCCUGCAUUUCUCUUCUACCCUCAGCACAACUCAGUCAGAAGAGAUGGCUGAAAGUGGUCAGCAAGUUCUGUAAAAUAAGAAACAAACCCAACUCUAAAAAGUCACAGGUAGGUAGACUUUACCCUGAACUGGGCUGGGACCUGUAAAGAUAUUUACAAGGGGUCACCAGGUCCACCCGAAUAGACGGAACGGCAGAGCUGUCGAGGAGCAGCUGCGGUGCACACACACCAGCAGGGAGAGCCUGCGGACACUGACU
rnacentral:lncRNA from 1 species